AGUUUGAUCCCCAGUACUAAAAAGAGAAAAAAAAUAAGAAAAAAAGAUGGCACAUAGUGUUUGAGUAGCUUUCUUCACAGUUGUUCUCUUUCUGAGGAGUUCCUGGAGGGAGCAUUAUUUUAACAGUUUGCUCCAGACAUUAAACAUCUGCUUCACAUCUUUACUGAAAGUUAGACUUCUCAGAGGCAUCUCCCUGGCCAGCCUAUCCAACAGCUCAGCAUCACCUCUGAUCCCAUACUUUCCAUCUCCUUCCCCAUUCUCCUGGGGGCACUUGGGGUUGAACCGGGGCACUCUGCUGCGGAGCUACAUUCCCUGUCCUUUUUAAAUUUAAUUUUAUUUUUGAGACAGGGUCUUGCUAAAUUACCCAGGCAGGACCAGAACUUGAGAUCCUCCUGCCUCAGCCUCCCUAAGUGCUGCAAUUUACAGGCAUGGGUCAUUGUGCCUGGUUUCCUUCCUCUGCUUUAUUUUUUCUCAUUAUUUGCUUUAUUGUGUGUCUUCCUUAGUAGAAUUUAACCUCUGUAAAGGCAGAAAUUCAUUAACUUCUUUCUGUUUUGUUCACAACCAUAUCUACAGUUGCCUGGAAGAACGCAGAGUGAGUACUGGAAAAGAAUAGAAGACAGCUGGGACUCCAGUUGCCUGAGAAGGUGCUCUGUCUCCCGCGGGAAGCAGAGGGGCCGGCCGCUCAGCUUCCGUCCGCCGAGUUCCAGUUCCGAGAAGCCGCCUGGCCGGCGGGUCCGCGGCGCGCUGUGAGCUGCACUUUGACCUGUGCGACCUCGGACGAGCGCGUCCGUCCGCAGCCCGUGUGGACGAGGGGCCUGAGCUCCCCCUGGUCCGAGCCGCCGCCCUGGACUCCCGGCUCCGCGUCGUCCCGGUCCGGACUCGGGUGAGCGAGGACCCGGCUCGAUCGGAGUCCGCGCGGCCGGAAGCGCGCACCGCCCUCCCAGGUCGCUCUAGGCCCGCGCCCGCGUCUCCGUGGGAUCCCAAUUCCGGCCUAGGGGCCCAAGGCUGUCCCACGUGCACUCCGGUCAUCUGCAUCUUCGGGGCAAGGCCAGCUGCCCGGGUUUAGUCCGUGCUGCUGAGUUCUCCAGACAAGUUAUUUAACGUUUCUGAUUCCCUGCUUGCUUCUCUGUAAAACAAUCGCUUCUGUGUCAAGAGGUGCUGUAAAGAUUCAGUGAAUUAAUACAUGCGGAGGGCAGAAAGGUCUGGACACCAGAUGCUCAGUAAGUGGCAGAAGACCUUAUUUUCACCAUUUUUACUGCUUCGGAAGGACCCUGGAGGGAGGGUCGGUUUUGUGACAGGAGAAUAAAGAGCACAGCAGAA